GGGGUGAAUUCUGGAAUCGGCCUCGGGGGAAAGUUCCUCAUCGAGUUGGAACCAGCACCAAAGUGGGCAUUGCCGGCCGGGCGAGUCGUGGUUGGAGCCGGAGCUUGGGGGUCCUCCCGUUGGAUCGGGGUGGGCGCUCUAGGCUGUACGGGUGCUGAAUUGGAGGAGUUCCCGGCAUGAGCUGAGAAGCUCAGAUGAUGUUGCGCGUACUGAUGUACCAUGACAGGUCUGCGGGGGCUUGACCCAUGCGGGCGCCGAAGAGACGACAUGGGUAUCUCCUUCCUUCCUUUUUGC
rnacentral:lncRNA from 1 species